rnacentral:rRNA from 1 species
GGGGCAUCACAUGAAGUAGCAAUACGGAUGGUGGCGACCGGCGCACGGGUGAGUAACACGUAUGCAACCUGCCUUCAACAAGGGGAUAACCCGUUGAAAGACGGACUAAUACCCUAUAACACAGGGGCCCCGCAUGGGGAUAUUUGUUAAAGAUUAAUCGGUUGAAGAUGGGCAUGCGUUCCAUUAGCUAGUUGGUGGGGUAAUGGCCCACCAAGGCAACGAUGGAUAGGGGAACUGAGAGGUUUAUCCCCCACACUGGUACUGAGACACGGACCAGACUCCUACGGGAGGCAGCAGUGAGGAAUAUUGGUCAAUGGACGCAAGUCUGAACCAGCCACGUCGCGUGAAGGAAGACGGCCCUACGGGUUGUAAACUUCUUUUGCAAGGGAAUAAAGUGAGUCACGUGUGACUUUUUGCAAGUACCUUGCGAAUAAGGAUCGGCUAACUCCGUGCCAGCAGCCGCGGUAAUACGGAGGAUCCGAGCGUUAUCCGGAUUUAUUGGGUUUAAAGGGUGCUCAGGCGGGCGAUUAAGUCGGCGGUGAAAUUUUGCGGCUCAACCGUAAAAGUGCCUUCGAAACUGGUCGCCUUGAGUGUGGAUGAGGUAGGCGGAAUUUGUGGUGUAGCGGUGAAAUGCAUAGAUAUCACGAGGAACUCCGA